rnacentral:rRNA from 1 species
GAUGAACGCUGGCGGCGUGCUUAACACACGCAAGUCGAACGGAAAGGCUCCUGCUUGCAGGGGUACUCGAGUGGCGAACGGGUGAGUAACACGUGGGUGAUCUGCCCUGCACUUCGGGAUAAGCCUGGGAAACUGGGUCUAAUACCGGAUAGGACCACAUUUUGGAUGGUGUGGUGGAAAGUUUUUCGGUGUGGGAUGAGCUCGCGGCCUAUCAGCUUGUUGGUGGGGUAAUGGCCUACCAAGGCGUCGACGGGUAGCCGGCCUGAGAGGGUGUACGGCCACAUUGGGACUGAGAUACGGCCCAGACUCCUACGGGAGGCAGCAGUGGGGAAUAUUGCACAAUGGGCGCAAGCCUGAUGCAGCGACGCCGCGUGGGGGAUGACGGCCUUCGGGUUGUAAACUCCUUUCGCUAGGGACGAAGCGUUUUUGUGACGGUACCUGGAGAAGAAGCACCGGCUAACUACGUG